rnacentral:misc_RNA from 1 species
AGAUGGUCAUAUCCCUUGGGCAUGUGAGGCCUUUUCAAAGCUGCAUGGUCAGAGGUUUGCCCAAGCACCAGCCACACUAUGCAGGUGUUGGAGAUUAUUCAUGAUGAAGCUGUGGAACCAUGGCCUUGUUGAUGCGCGUACAAUUAACAAUUGUAACCUAAUAUUAGAGCAGUUCCAAAACCAAGACAGUGAUUCUACUAGAAGCUGAAUACCCGUUUGACAAUUUGUUACCAUCUAG